ensembl:lncRNA
AAGUGCUUGAAUUCCAGAGACUCUAUUUUGUCAAAUGUUCUCUGGCCACUCAGAAACCUGACUACAUUUUGCUCAUUGUGGCUCUGGUUUCAGUGAUGAUGUCCUCUUUCAAAUUCAUGUUGAAACUUCUUCACUAAUGCAAAAUAUUAUGGGAUGUUGCCUGUGGGAGGUGAUUAGUGACGCAAGUUCUGCCCUCAUGAAUAAGAUGAGCACUCUUACAAAAGGGCUCCAGGCUGAGAGGAUCAGAAUCUUGCCCUUCCACCUUUCACCAUGUGAGAACACAGAAGCAAGGCGCCAUCUUGGAAGCAGAGAGCAGCUCUCAACAGACACCAAAUACAACACCUUGACCUUGGAUUUCUCAGUUCCAGCACUACUGGUUUCCACCAUGUUGGCUCACGUCUCGAACUCCUGA